GCGGAGGGGAGGGGAAGGGAAGAGUAGAGAGGGAGGGAGGAUGGGGGAUGGCUGCGAGGUCGGGAAGCCCCACUGGCCUAGAGUGGAGAGGGCAGGACCCCUCUUCUCAAGCAGGGCUACCUCAGGGCUUUCGAGCUGUGGAGAGACCAGGGCACAAGCCCUGAUGCUCAGCCGCCCUCUGCCUUGGAGCCAGCCCUUGGCAUGAAACCCUACCCACGCUGGCCUCUGCUCCUCUUUCUCUUUUCUUAAUAAGGUCGAAUCAGAGUGAGUCAGAGGGGCCUAGUUUCCUAUUAGAUUCUGUUUGAGUAAACUCUGUGCUGAACAUAGCUCGGGCCUCUGCACGGGCUCCCUGGGCCAAGGCUGUGUCCCUGCCAGCCAUCUUGGCUGAGACUAGAGACGUAGGGCCCCAGGACGACUGAGCUGGGGCCCUGACCCAGCCCCUAGUUACCCCCAAGGAAGCCCAUUAAGCUCUCAGAGCUUCAAAGUCUUCACCUGUGACUUCAGGCUAAUACUACCAUUCUCAUGGUGUAUUUGGGAGGAAGAAAUGAGAGGAUUAUGAAUAGUACCCAGUACAGUGCCAGCCAUUUGGCUGCUAUUUUCUUUCUUUCCUCUGGAUUGGUGAGAGAAGGGAGGGGUUUAUCUGCCAAGGGUCCUCCCCUUCCCCCCCCCAUUUUCUUUGUCCCAGCCCCAUUUUUGUCUGUCUUCCCCACUCUUCCUUGCCCCGGGUGAACCCUAUGUGGGGCUAAGCCCUUCUCCCCACCCCCUCUGAGGCCUGUCCUCGCCUCCCCUCUCCUUUUCCUCCCUGACCUCUUUCUCCCUUCCAAUCUGGGUCUCACAGUGGCAGACAGGGCCUAGCAGCUGUAUGAGCCCAGGUGAGGCUGCCCAGUUCCCCUCUCCAUGCACAUGGAACAAGGCUUUGUCUCAGCAGCUCCAGGUAUCUUGGCACCCUUUAGUUGGUGCUUGAGGAGCCGAGCCUGAGAUACUUGGGCAGGCUGCCCAGGAGUCCCGAGGGGCUUUGAGUCACAGGCUGGGCUGGCCCGAGCUGUCUGUAGGUGAGGGGGCGUCUCCAGGCCCUGUCUCCCUGUGGGCUGGAUUCACACCCACAUUUUUAAGACCCAGCCAUGUGGUUGAGGCUUGUUGCCAGUCCCUGACACUAGGAACCAGUCUCAGGGGGCCAUGGAGGGCCAGUGAUAUAGGACUGUAAGAGUUUGGUGUUAGUGCAUGACUUCAUUAAGCACCUACUGUGUUUAACUUUGAGCUGGGCUGCUCUGUUACUGCUAAGGGAACACCAGACCCUGGAAAAUCGCGGGGGAAGUAAGGAGGCGUCAGGCCUGAUCCGCAGAGGGUUUGAGGACCGUGAAGGGACAGGACUGUGGGCUGUCACACUGCUCCGCAGAGGAAGGACCAGGAGGCCCACUGCGGGUCAGAAUGCUUCUGCGGUUGCGGGAAGGGUUGAGGCAGGCCCCUGCCGUCUGUUUCCUCCUCCACGUGAUCACUGGCUGCUAAGCCCAGGCCCAGCACCUGGGUGGGCAGCUCAGGAAAGCCGCCGAUAGGAUUUUUACUCAACUGGGAGAGGAAGUCCCAGCCCAACCCAGCACUGGACUGUGCAGCCCCAGCCUCUGCCCCUGGAAAGCGGGCUGGCGGAGGUGCUGAGUGAGGAGGCCUGGCAAGCUGGCACAGAACACGCUGGCCGUGCAGGGAGAGGACCACCGAGUGACCGCUGCCAGCUGGGCUUUGUGCUCACCCUUUCCCAGCAGCCACAGCUGGCGCAAUGGACACUGGGAUUCUACCCAAAAGGUGUUGCUCUGAAGGCAGUUCUGGAUGAGAUGAGAUGAUGGUCCAGGGUAUGGAUCAAGCUUCUACUGUAUGCCACAGGACGGGACAAAAAUUCGCAUUGAUCGCAGGUACUCCUCUGCCAGACAAGAAGGUGGUCACUUUGUAACCUCUAGAUGCCUUGCGUUUGGGCCACUGGGGGGCUGGCUCAGGCAGGGCUUCAGCCACAGUCCCUCCCCUAUUAAAAUCUUCUCACCCUAAGGACUGGAUGUGGAUUCUGAGCCUACAGUCAGACCUUCAGUUUCACUCUGGCAGGAGGAACUCAGACCUAAGUUGGGGCACCUUGACCUGCUGGUUGAGAUGCAAGGUGGAGUGGUGGGAGCUGCCUGAACUGUUGUCUGGCCAGGAGGCCAGCCACUUCCUCUCUGUGGUGUUGGAAAGACCAGACUUUCUCUGACCACAAAAGGUGGGUAGUAGACUCCCCACUGAGCAGCUGGUGGCUACCAGACUUAUGUCUAUAUAACCCAGAGGGUCCCCAGCGACAAUUCUCUGACCAAGAAGACAUGCUCCACAGACUUUCUGGUGUUCCCCUAGGAGGAGAAGUACCUGGCAACUUGAAUUUUUUAAAGUAACUUAAAACAACUUAACUAUAACAUACACAGAGAAAAGUACACAAGGUAUAGAGCUUGAUGAAUGAUCCCAAAGUGAACGCAUCUGUGAACUACCACCUGGACAAGGAAAUGGCACAUCGCCGCAGCAGGUAACUUCUUCUGGGAAGCUCCUGACGUUCUGCAUGUAUCAGCACUGGCUACACUGGAAACGAUUUUUCCUCAACAGGAUUUUUAAUGACUGAAUUAUAUGGAUAAAUCAUAAUUUAUUUAAUAACCCUUUUUUGUUUCAUUUUACUUUCCUAGCUCUUGUAAAUAAUGCUGUAAUAAGCAUGCUUAAACAUAAACCUUGACGUCUGCUGCCCGUAUGUAUUAGUCUCGGUGUGUCUGGGUUGGUUCCAGCCCUCAUUUGUGAGCUGUGUGAUUCACUGUGCCUUUUCUCUUUCCGUAAAAUGGGAACAAUGAUAAGGACUUCAAUGAGGGGACACUUGGGGUGUGUUUAGUACAGAGGCUGGUGUGUGCAAGCACUCAAUAAGCAUCAACAUGAUUAGUCCUUAGAUUAACUUACUGGAAGCUGGAUUUCUCGUGAAAGGGUUUGAAUAUGGCUAAGGUUUUGGCACAAGUUACCCAGCUGCCCCCAGAAAGUGGUCUCCGUUUACCUGCCUGAAGCACCAUGCCCUUGUCAACACCAGGUACUAUCUUCUUAAAAGAGCAUUAAACAUUGGAUAGAUUAAAAACAUGUUAAUACAUUUUUUAGUUGCAUUUCUUUGAUACCUGUGAGAGCAUUUUGUCUUGUGCACGUUGACAUCUGAAGGUUUUCCUCCUACUUUUAUACAUAAGAAGUCUAUGCUGCAACAGUGGCCAGGAUGAUCCUUUUAAGACAAAAGUCAAAAUUCCACUCGUCUGCUUAACACCCAGCAAUGGUUCCCAGCCUAACUGGGGAUAAAAGCCAAAGCCCUCUUAAUAGCCCCCUGGGGUCCUCACCAAUUAGUCCCUUCUGCUCCCUGCACUGGGCCCCCUGGCCUCCCCCUGCCCCCCCAGCACACCGUGGCUAUUUCCCAAGCUCUGCACAGCUAGUAACCUGACCCUGUUCAAGGUUUUGCUUCAAUGCACCUUCUCAACACAGACCACGCUCCUGUGCACAUACACACCGCCUUCCGGCCCCCCACUCUUGAUCUCCUUACUACACUCCUUUCUUUAGCCAAAGAGUACUUUCACCUGCUAAAAUACCACAUAAUUUGUUUCUUGUCUCUCCCCACAAGAACUGCUUAUUUGUUUUUGUCUCUCCCCUCCAUGAGGGCACCUUUGUCUUGUCACCGCUGUCCCACAUACCUAGAAUUGUGUCUGGCACAUAAGAGGUACUCAGUAAAUAUUUUUUGAAUAAAUACAUGAAUGGUAAAUUUCCUGUUUAUAUUCUUUGACUAUUUUCUAUUGUAAUCUUCACCUGUUCAGUAUUGAUUUAUAAGACAGAAUAUGUUUAGCACCUUUUCCUAUAUCACUGUUUGUCACAUGUGAAACUAAUUUUUAAAGUUUCUCAUUGGCAUCAAUAUUUUUUAUACUCUCCUGAUGUUCCAAAGUGCUUCGUUUUUCAGCUGUCAAAUUGUUAACUUUUCCUUUAUGAUCUCAGACUUUAUUGCUGUGUGACCUUAGCCUUACCAAGAAU